rnacentral:rRNA from 1 species
GAUGAACGCUAGCGGGAGGCUUAACACAUGCAAGUCGAGGGGCAGCACGUCUUCGGAUGGUGGCGACCGGCGCACGGGUGCGUAACGCGUAUGCAACCUACCCUAUGCUGGGGGAUAGCCCGGGGAAACCCGGAUUAAUACCCCAUAACAUUGCAGAAAGGCAUCUUUCAGCAUUUAAAGCUCCGGCGGUUAAAGAUGGGCAUGCGUGCCAUUAGCUAGUUGGUGAGGUAACGGCUCACCAAGGCUACGAUGGUUAGGGGGUCUGAGAGGAUGAUCCCCCACACUGGUACUGAGACACGGACCAGACACCUACGGGUGGCAG